AUGUUUCCUCUUGGAGCCAGGCCGCCUCCUCCUAGCGCCAUGGACCGCCAUCACCACCAGCAGCCGCCGUCGCCGCAGGGGGAGCAUGCCGCCCAGCCACGCUGCUGGGAGGAGUUCCUCCACAGGAAGACCAUCAGGGUGCUGCUCGUGGAGACCGACGACUCCACCCGGCAGGUCGUCACCGCCCUGCUCCGCCACUGCAUGUACCAAGUUAUCCCUGCUGAAAACGGCCACCAGGCGUGGGCGUAUCUUCAGGACAUGCAGAGCAACAUCGACCUUGUUCUGACAGAGGUCUUCAUGCACGGCGGUCUCUCUGGGAUCGACCUGCUCGGCAGGAUCAUGAACCACGAGGUCUGCAAGGACAUCCCCGUCAUCAUGAUGUCGUCGCACGAUUCGAUGGGCACGGUCCUCAGCUGCCUGUCAAAUGGUGCCGCCGACUUCUUGGCCAAGCCGAUUCGUAAGAACGAGCUUAAGAACCUUUGGGCGCAUGUGUGGAGACGGUCUCACAGCUCCAGUGGCAGUGGCAGUGGAAGUGCCAUUCAGACACAGAAGUGUACCAAAUCUAAGAGUGGCGAUGAUUCCAAUAAUAACAGCAAUAAUCGCAACGACGAUGCCAGCAUGGGGCUCAAUGCAAGGGAUGGCAGCGAUAAUGGCAGUGGCACUCAGAGCUCAUGGACAAAGCGUGCCGUUGAGAUCGACAGUCCGCAGGACAUGUCUCCAGAUCAGUCAGUUGAUCCGCCUGAUAGCACUUGCGCGCAUGUGAGCCACCUGAAGUCAGAGAUAUGCAGCAAUAGAUUAAGAGGUACAAAUAACAAAAAAUGCCAGAAACCAAAAGAAACUAAUGCUGAGUUCAAAGGGAAGGAGUUGGAGAUAGGUGCCCCUGGUAAUUUGAAUACAGAGGAUCAAUCCUCCCCGAAUGAGAGUUCGGUCAAACCAGCUGAUAAUGGACGGUGUGAGUAUCUGCCACAGAACAAUUCCAAUGAUACAGUUAUGGAAAAUUCGGAUGAGCCAAUUGUUCGAGCUGCUGACCUAAUCGGUUCGAUGGCCAAAAACAUGGACGCCCAACAGGCAGCUAGAGCCAUAGAUGCUCCUAACUGCUCCUCACAAGCGCCGCAAGGGAAAGACACGGACCGUGAAAACGCCAUGCCGUAUCUUGAACUGAGCCUGAAGAGGUCGAGAUCGACCGCGGACGGAGCGGAUGCUGCGAUCCAGGAGGAACAGAGGAACGUCGUGAGACGAUCGGACCUCUCGGCAUUCACGAGGUACAAUACGUGCGCGGUCUCCAAUCAAGGCGGUGCAGGGUUCGUCGGGAGCUGCUCGCCCAACGGCAACAGCUCCGAGGCCGCGAAAACGGACGCCGCUCAGAUGAAGCAAGGCUCCAACGGCAGCAGCAACAACAACGACAUGGGCUCCACCACCAAGAGCGUGGUGACCAAGCCCGCCGGCGGAAAUAAUAAGGUUUCGCCCAUCAACGGCAACACACAUACCUCGGCGUUCCAUCGUGUGCAGCCGUGGACGCCGGCAACAGCAGCAGGGAAAGACAAGGCUGAUGAAAUGAGCAAGAAGAAUGCUGCAACAGCAGCAGCGGCGAAAGACAAUGGUGGUGAAGCACAGAGCAAACGCCCCUGUGCAGCGGCCCAUGACACGAAUGGUGGAUCAUCGGCAGGAGGCACUGCUCAGUCCAAUGUGGUCAAUCCUUCGGGUCCGGUUGAAGGUCAUGCUGCCAACUAUGGUAGCAACUCUGGCAGUAAUAACAACACCAACAAUGGGAGCACCGCAGCUACUGCUGCUGCUGCUGUACAUGCUGAGACCGGUGGCAUCGACAAAAGAAGCAACAUGAUGCACAUGAAACGGGAGCGCCGGGUGGCCGCCGUGAACAAGUUCAGAGAGAAGAGAAAAGAGAGGAACUUCGGGAAGAAGGUGCGUUACCAGAGCAGGAAGAGACUGGCCGAGCAGCGCCCGCGGGUGCGCGGGCAGUUCGUGCGGCUGCCGUUGAGAGAUAACCUCCCGCCACACACCUAG
rnacentral:rRNA from 1 species